CACGCUGGCGGCAUGCCUAACACAUGCAAGUCGAACGCGGUUUCCUCGCAAGGGGAAACUGAGUGGCGAACGGGUGAGUAACGCGUGGGUGACCUACCUUCGAGUGGGGGAUAACGUCCCGAAAGGGACGCUAAUACCGCAUGACAUCCUGCCUUUGAAUAGGUGGAGAUCAAAGCCGGGGAUCGCAAGACCCGGCGCUUGAUGAGGGGCCCGCGUCCGAUUAGCUAGUUGGUGGGGUAACGGCUCACCAAGGCAACGAUCGGUAUCCGGCCUGAGAGGGCGGACGGACACACUGGGACUGAGACACGGCCCAGACUCCUACGGGAGGCAGCAGUGGGGAAUUGUUCACAAUGGGCGCAAGCCUGAUGACGCAAUGCCGCGUGGAGGAUGAAGGUCUUCGGAUUGUAAACUCCUGUUGCCAGGGACGAAUGGCUCCGACCUAAUACGUCGGAGUAUGACGGUACCUGGUGAGGAAGCCCCGGCUAACUCUGUGCCAGCAGCCGCGGUAAUACAGAGGGGGCAAGCGUUGUUCGGAAUUACUGGGCGUAAAGGGCGCGUAGGCGGCCUUCUAAGUCGAACGUGAAAUCCCCGGGCUCAACCCGGGAACUGCGUCCGAUACUGGGA
rnacentral:rRNA from 1 species